CCUACGGGAGGCAGCAGUGAGGAAUAUUGGUCAAUGGCCGGAAGGCUGAACCAGCCAUGCCGCGUGAAGGUCAGUGCCCUAUGGGCGUUAAACUUCUUUUGUGCGGGAGCAAUAAUGGUCACGUGUGGCCAGACGAGAGUACCGUACGAAUAAGCAUCGGCUAACUCCGUGCCAGCAGCCGCGGUAAUACGGGGGAUGCAAGCGUUAUCCGGAUUUAUUGGGUUUAAAGGGUGCGUAGGCGGAUUUUUAAGUCAGCGGUAAAAUGUCCGGGCUCAACCCGGGCCGGACGUUGAAACUGGCUGUCUUGAGAUGGCGAGAGGUAUGCGGAAUGCGAAGUGUAGCGGGGAAAUGCUUAGAUAUUGCGCAGAACUCCGAUUGCGAAGGCAGCAUACCGGCGGAGAUCUGACGCUGAGGCACGAAAGCGUGGGUAUCGAACAGGAUUAGAUACCCGAGUAGUC
rnacentral:rRNA from 1 species